CCAUGCUACAUUGGAACUGCACACCCUACGAAGGACCACAGGACCAGGUUGGAAGAACACUGGACUUGUCCACUAUCAACCAGACCAAGUAGGGUCUCUCUUGCAUGAGAUUUGAUUCAUGCAGAACAAGCCUGGAUGAACAGAUCUCACAGUAAAGGGAUUGACUAGCCACCCUGCUGUGCUGAGACAGGGGUGCACAUCUCUAUCCUGCUGAUACCCCACACCAUGCUUUUUACUGCAAGGACUUGAGCCAUAGGACCAUGCCUCAGGACUACCUGGCAUGAUGACUCCUUGCUGUCCACAGUCCACCUGGCCGUGCUGCUGCUCCAGUUUCAACUGUUCUGCCUGCGGCUAUAGAAUCCUGACCUGUUCACCGGACGUGCUACCUGUCCCCGACCUAUUAUUUGACCAUGCUGGUCAUUUAUGAACAUUUGAACGUCUUGGCCAUGUUCUGUUAUAAUCUCCACCCGGCACAGCCAGAAGAGGACUCGCCACGCCUCAUAGCCUGGUUCCUCUCUAUGUUUCUUCCUAGGUUUUGGCCUUUCUAGGGAGUUUUUCCUAGCCAACGUGCUUCAACACCUGCAUUGCUUGCUGUUUGGGGUUUUAGGCUGGGUUUCUGUACAGCACUUUGAAAUAUCAGCUGAUGUACGAAGGGCUAUAUAAAUACAUUUGAUUUGAUGAUUAAAGCAGGGGUCUCCCAAUAUUUUCUAGCAUGAGAUCUGCUUCAAAAAGGCAUGUUUUUCUCUUCUCACCUACGCUGCAACUCUUCCGAGUCCUUGGUGUACAAGAGAUGUGUUUUCUGUCAAUAUACCUGGCAAAACAAUGGUUAAUAAACAACAUCUAAGGGGGCUCAA